AGCGGAAGUGAGCAUGCUGGAACCCUGCAGAUCUAAAAUCUGGUUGACGCGUCUGCAGCCACUGCUGAGCUUUGGGUAGGCCAGGGUCGGGGAUCGGCCGGCUGAUCUCUGCUGUCGCGCUUCCCUACCCCGGCCUCUUUCCAGGACCAAGUCCGCAAUCCCUGCCGUGGCCACGCCCCUCUGCGCCCUCCGUCCUGGCUUCUCUGCAUCCUGGCUGCUCUGCGUCCUGUCUGUUCCCCCCGGGUGGAGGGGAGAGGCAGCCAUCCUCCUGCAGGUGAAGCGGAGUGGAGACUCUUCCUAAGCCCAGCUGCAGGACACUGAACACCAACGAGAUUCAUAAAAUCCAAUUAUGGGUGUAAGAGGUUUGCAGGGAUUUGUGGGAAGUACCUGCCCACAUAUAUGUACAGUAGUAAAUAUUCAUGAGCUGGCAGAGCGUCACCGACACAAGUACCCUGGACAUACACCUACCAUUGUGGUGGAUGCCAUGUGCUGUCUCCGAUACUGGUACACACCAGAGUCUUGGAUCUGCGGCGGCCAGUGGAGAGAAUACUAUUCUGCUCUGAGAGAUUUUGUUACAGCCUUCACAUCUGCCGGCAUCAAGUUAAUAUUCUUCUUUGAUGGCAUGGUGGAGCCGGGUAAGCGCGAUGAGUGGGUAAAACGUAGACUUAAAAACAACAGGGAAAUAUCCAAGAUUUUCCACUAUAUCAAGUCAAAAAGAGUCCAGCCAGGCAGAAACAUGUUCUUCAUUCCCUCGGGUCUGGCUAUAUUUACACGAUUCGCACUGAAGACACUGGGCCAGGAGACCUUCUGUUCAUUACAAGAGGCAGACUACGAGGUGGCUUCUUACGGCCUCCAGCACAACUGUCUUGGGAUCCUUGGGGAAGACACUGACUACUUAAUUUACGACACUUGCCCUUACUUUUCAAUUGGUGAUCUCUGCCUAGAGAGUCUCCGAACCGUCAUGCUCUGUCGAGAGAAGCUCUGUGAGAGCCUGGGCCUCCAUGUGGCAGACCUUCCUCUGCUGGCCUGUCUGCUUGGCAACGACAUCACUCCAGAGGGCAUGUUUGAAAGCUUUCGGUACAAAUGCUUGUCGUCCUAUACUUCUGUGAAAGAGAACGCAGGCAGAAAGGGAAAUAUUAUCUUAGCUGUCUCAGACUAUAUCUCCAAAGUUCUUCAUCUGUAUCAAGGUGAGAAGAGGAUAGAAGAGAUGCUACCCUUGGGGCCAAACAAAGCUCUUUUUUAUAAAGGAGUAACAUCGUAUCUUUUGCCAGGGCAGAAAUCUCCAUGGUUAGUUCAAAAACCCAAAGGCAUAAUAACAGAGAAGCAAAUGGUGAGUUUAGACCCCGAAUCCAAGCAAGAAGUCCCUAUGUGUAUAGAUCCUGAAUUCAAGCAAGAAGUUCUUGUGUGCACUAAUCCCGAGACCAUGCAAGAAGUCCCCAUGUGUAUGGAUUCUGAACCCAACCCAGAAGCUUCCAUGUGCACAGAUCCUGAAUCCAAACAAGAAGUGCCCAUGUGCACAGAUCCCGAAUCCAAGCCAGAAGUUUCCCUAUAUACACACCCAGAGAGCAAGCAAAAAUCACCUACAGAAAUAGACACUGAAUUUAAUCUAGAAGCACUCAUGUGUGCAUACCCUGAAGUUAAACAAGAAGACGCCAUGGAUAUGGAACCUGAAGUAAAGCAAGCAACCAUGGUUUCAGAGUCUGAGAUCUUAAAGAUUGCCAGGAUGCAUCAUGUCCACUCAGAAAGCUACCUAGUGUACAACAUUAUGAGCAGUGGAGAGAUAGAGUGUAGUAACACUCUGGAGGACGAGCUGGACCAAGCCCUACCAAGCCAAGCCUUCAUCUACCGCCCAGUCCGGCAGCGUGUCUACUCACUCUUAUUCGGGGACUGGAAAGAUGGAGCCAGCACCACCGGCCCAGUGGUCAAGGAGUGGUUUGUGUACCCUGGUAACUCCCUGAAGCACCCAGACCUAGUUAGGCCUCUGCAGAUGACCGUUGAAGGGGGAACACCUAGCUUGGAAGUUUUGUGGCUCAGCCAAGAGCCAGCAGCACAGGCCCGGCGCCUGGACACAUUGCUAGCCUGCUUCAACCUUUCCUCUUCAAGAGAAGAGCUGCAAGCAGUUGAGGGCCCGUUGAGAGCGCUGUGCUGCCUCCUGAUAUACCUCUUUGUCCAGGUGGACACUCUUUCCCUGGAAGAUCUGCAUGCAUUUAUCGCUCAGGCCUUGUGCCUCCAAGGAAAAUCAACCUCCCAGCUUAUGCACUUACAGCUGGAUCACAUUAGCUCCAGAGCUGUGCAGCUGGGGUCCCUCCUUGUCCGAGGCCUUACCACAUUGAUACUAGUCAACAGUGCAUGUGGCUUCCCCUGGACAACAAGCGAGUUUAUGCCCUGGAAUGUAUUUGACGGCAAGCUUUUCCAUCAGAAGUACCUGCAGUCUGAAAAGGGAUACGCCGUGGAGGUUCUUUUGGAACAAAACAGAUCGUGGCUCACCAAGUUCCACAACCUGAAGGCAGUGGUCUGCAAGGCCUGCUCCAAGGAGAACCGGCGCAUUGUAGGCAGAACACAUUGGAACUCUCACUACACUGGAAGGCAAGGGAGACAGGGCCACAGCUCCUACAGGACAGGCUCCACACAUGGCCAUUCUGGGCAGUCAUGGAGAGACCAGGGUUCAGUACAGCUCAGCAACCCAUCUCUAUGCAUGCUUAGAACCGUGCUGCUUCUUUGAGUUGGUGUUUGGAGACAUUUCUUCUUACUCUGGUGUUCGUCUCUGUUUGGUACAGGAGGCAGACAGCAUGAGCAGCAUGAACACUGGAGAAGAUACUAGGUGUUGUACAGAAGAGUGUGGAAAAAGGAUCAGUGCCCAUGCCCGGACUCCGCCCUCCCUCCAAGGAGUGUUCACACCCAGUCUUCAUCAGCAAGGACAGCAACUGGGACUACACUUUAAAGGAAGGAAAGAUUUCUUUUCAGAGGUCUCUCCUAUACAUACUGUAGAAGGAUCCCAUUGGUUUGUUUCAGAGGUUGCUCCUGACUCCAUGACCCAGAAACACUUGACACUGACAUCAAGAAUGCUCUCCUGACCUUAGCAGGAGUCUAAUUCCAAACAUUUUCUUACUAUUAAAUUGUGAGAAUGUUGCUCAAAUCAUUAGUCUUUGAAAUCAUGAUGUCUUCUUAUUUUUCUUUCAUUGUGGAAAGGCACCAUGACCAAAGCGACUUACAAAAGAAAGCAUUUAAUGUGGGUCUUAGGGUUCCAGAGGGUGGUAGAGCCCGUGACCGUCAUGUUGGGGUGCGUGACAACACAAGGCAAGGACUAGCCAACAGAGAAUGGCUCAGGGUUUUGAAAAUUUAAAGCCCACCCCCCCCAGUGACACACCUCCAUCAGCAAAGCCACGCCUUUCCUAGUAAGGCCAUUCGUCCUAAUCCUUUCUAUCACCUGGAGACCAAGCUUUCAAACAUGCUAGCUUAUGGGAUCAUUCUCAUUUAGACCACCACACAUGAUAUCUAAUAGGUAUAAUAGUCUGUCAAAAAAUACAUUUUCAUUAGAAAAUCUAACAGAAGUGUUCAUCUGUUUCCUUCCUUGAUCCACAAAGCAUUUGGAUAGGAAAAAAAAACUAACUAAAUUCUUGCUUUCUUGUGGGAGAGUUGGUUCUGCACGGAGGCAAGAUGGCUCAGUGGUUAAGAACAGCAGCUGCUCUUCCAGAGACUCAAGGUAUGAUUCCCAUCACCACAUAGUGGCUCACAGCUGUCUGUAACUCUAGUUCCGGAGGAUCUCCUGUGAGCACCAAACACAAGACAUGCACACAGGCAAAACACCCAUAAAGAUGAAAUAUUUAAUAAGUUAAAGAAAAAAAGAUUUUUAAAGAAGCAUAAUGGGUUAAGCUUAAAGUAAGCUCCUCUUUAAACUUUGACAUUCUUAUCUAUCUCCACUGGGGAUUCAAGAGUAGCUAUGCCUGUCCAGGGCCCUUACUGCCCUCCUAGACCUCUGGGGACACUUAGGUCCCUCAGGAGAUGUAAGUACUCUGGUCAUUGGAAGAUGUAUCCUUUCAGUGCUCCCGUCUUUAAGAGUUUAGUAAGCUUCUAAAAAUGUUCCUUUUCAUCUUUAUGCUGACAGUUUUCCAGACCACUGGCUCAACCAUGCUGUGCGGAGCUCUUGGGUUUCGCCUUGAGAUUCUUGUGUUUACCAGAAAGGUAUAGAUAUAUCUCCUGCAUUUGAACAUGGUUGUAUUUGUUCAGCUUCUUUCUGCUCCUGACAAACUUGAGCAUAGUGUGUCCACAGAUCACGUAGCUGCCAUGACUUUGCUGCCUAGAUUUGGAACUGGCUUUUCUGGCCCUUCCCUCAAAUACUGUCUUCUCCCUCUCUGCUGCUUUCAAGCAGUGCUGGCUUUAGACGUUGUGUUUCUUUGCUAUUUACUUGUGUAACUUUGAAUUAAGAUUCUGAGCUCUUAAAUUGAAAGUAUAUUUCUGUGAAGUUGUUUUCCGUCACAGAAGCUGCAUCCUGACUUGUCAAUAAAAUGCUUACAUCAGUCUAAAUAAGCCACUGUGUUGAAGGAAUAUUGAUCGCAUUUAGAGCGUUUCCAGUGACAGAAUUGCUUACAUUGUUUCCAGUCAAGUCUUGUGAUAGAAUUUCCACAUAUCAAUUUAAAAUAAAAAUGCAUUUUUAAACUCUUA